GAAGUGAUUGUCCACAUCUGACCCUGAACCAGCCAGUCAGCUCCUUCUUCAAACAGAACGCUUCUCUUAGGAAGAAAUAAACAUCAGCCAGGGAGCAAAUGGAACUACACGCAAGAUAGGAAAUUCAGGGCCCCUUGACUUCAUAGAGUCGCCCUUCACUGUACUUCAAAGCGAGGUGUGUGUUUAUCAUCCUCGUUGUGCACAGAAGAAGAAUAAAAGGCUUUUAAGUGGAGCCUUGCAAAUGUGCCCAGAAUAGAUAUCAGCGCGGCAAGAUGAUUAUGUGCAAGAGCAACUUGUAGAAUCUCAUCCAUUAAAGGGAGAUGUUCUCUCCUAGAGAAACUUCUCAAGUCCUUUGUCCAUCCAUAGAGAUGAGCAGUGUCCUUCCUUUGAUAAGGAGACAUCUAUCAGGUGAUGCAUCAAUUUUCAAUUAAUCAGCACAUCACUGAUGUGUUCACUUUAUUUCUAUAAAUGGACUUGAAGAAUAAAUCCUUAGUUUAUAGGUGA